rnacentral:rRNA from 1 species
UACGGAGGAUGCAAGCGUUAUCCGGAAUCAUUGGGCGUAAAGCGUCUGUAGGUGGCUUGGUAAGUCGACUGUUAAAUCGUAGAGCUCAACUUUAUAUCGGCAGUCGAAACUACUUCGCUUGAGUGUGGUAGGGGCAGAGGGAAUUCCCGGUGUAGCGGUGAAAUGCGUAGAUAUCGGGAAGAACACCAACGGCGAAAGCACUCUGCUGGGCCAACACUGACACUGAGAGACGAAAGCUAGGGUAGUCAAUGGGAUUAGAUACCCCAGUAGUCCUAGCCGUAAACGAUGGAUACUAAGUGGUGUGCGUAUUGACCCGUACACUGCUGUAGCUAACGCGUUAAGUAUCCCGC